ACCUGAGACACUUUGCGAAGAAGUUAGACCCUCGCAGACAGACAGGCCACGAGAGGAACAAGUCUGUGGUGGACCUGAUGUUUGCUGCUUACAGUGGUGAUGUUUCAGCUCUCAGAAGAAUCGCUCUCUCUGCGGUUAAUAUGGAGUUGACUGACUAUGACACCCGUACCGCCCUGCAUGUGGCCUCAGCAGAAGG